rnacentral:rRNA from 1 species
UACGAAGGGGGCUAGCGUUGUUCGGAAUUACUGGGCGUAAAGCGCGCGCAGGCGGUUCUUCAAGUCAGUGGUGAAAGCCCGGAGCUCAACUCCGGAACUGCCAUUGAAACUGUAGAACUUGAGGAUGAGAGAGGUGAGUGGAAUUCCCAGUGUAGAGGUGAAAUUCGUAGAUAUUGGGAAGAACACCGGUGGCGAAGGCGGGUCUCUGGGCCGAUAUUGACGCUGAGGAGCGAAAGCGUGGGGAGCGAACAGG